AAAGUUCACCUUAUAUUGUCACGAAGUUCAGUUCGUCAAUUACAAGGUGAAAACCCACCGGAGGUGCAACAUAUUAGCUGGAAAUUGAUUUUUACCUCUUUCUUUGAUCUAUAAUUUCUAUUUUCUCCGCCUGUCUUUGCUUUACUAAAAAUCUUUGUAAAAAUUGCCUAGAAGCAGUUUGUGAAUUUGUGAACCGCUGGAGAUUUUUACAAUUUUCUUCUCAGCGAGGUUUUGUCAACUCCUUGAAAUGCAUCGAUGGAGACUUAAUGCUAUGUAUUUUCUUGUUCUAAUUGAUUUGCUGGUUGGUUGGUAGCUGCUGACUUUUAUUGAUAAGAAUGGAUUUAUUUUAGAAGUUCAGAAACUUUUAAAUCCGAAGUCCAGUUCUACUCAUGCUAUGAGUUUGUGUUGUCCUUUUCAGGAAGUUCACUUGUCAUGCACUAGUGCUCUCGUCUCACAGUAACAGCCAACAGGGAAUGCCCGGGUAGAGGUAUUUAUCCAUGGUAAGAAGGAUGGCAUGAUCCGUCCAGGUACAACAAACCAUGUGCAUAUACAGAGUGUACAAUGCAUAUCGGGGAUAUGACAUGAUUGCUGAGAUGCGAGUAAACAAGCAGGAACGAUGAUGAACUUGUGAAAUUCAGAUAAGUAGUGAAGUAGGGAUGAACUCUGAAGUUCACAACAACCAGCCGCCGCCGCAGAGCCUAUGCGGAAUACCACUGGGCCUUCGCCGUGGCUGUGCCUCUCCACAAUAGCACCCCGUUGUGGCAGUCUACACCAACACAGCAGGAGUCCACCAGGCGGCGCUCUGGGAGUCCACAAUGGGGCAGUAGCAAUGCCAAGGAUUCAGCGAGAUAUUGGUCAAAUGAAAUUAUCUGAAGCAGCUAAUUUUGGGUCGAAUUAUCUCAAACCAAUGCCAAGGACGAUGGGUGAAGUUCACUUCUUCUAAACCUUGUAAUUCACUUCUCCUAAUUCAUGAAGUUCACAUCUCUGGAAUAGAUGAAACAGCAGUUCCAAAAUUC